rnacentral:rRNA from 1 species
AUGAACGCUAGCUACAGGCUUAACACAUGCAAGUCGAGGGGCAUCAGUUUGGUUUGCUUGCAAACCAAAGCUGGCGACCGGCGCACGGGUGAGUAACACGUAUCCAACCUGCCUCAUACUCGGGGAUAGCCUUUCGAAAGAAAGAUUAAUAUCCGAUAGCAUAUAUUUCCCGCAUGGGUUUUAUAUUAAAGAAAUUCGGUAUGAGAUGGGGAUGCGUUCCAUUAGUUUGUUGGGGGGGUAACGGCCCACCAAGACUACGAUGGAUAGGGGUUCUGAGAGGAAGGUCCCCCACAUUGGAACUGAGACACGGUCCAAACUCCUACGGGAGGCAGCAGUGAGGAAUAUUGGUCAAUGGACGCGAGUCUGAACCAGCCAAGUAGCGUGAAGGAUGACUGCCCUAUGGGUUGUAAACUUCUUUUAUAUGGGAAUAAAGUGGUCCACGUGUGGACUUUUGUAUGUACCAUAUGAAUAAGGAUCGGCUAACUCCGUGCCAGCAGCCGCGGUAAUACGGAGGAUCCGAGCGUUAUCCGGAUUUAUUGGGUUUAAAGGGAGCGUAGGCGGAUUGUUAAGUCAGUUGUGAAAGUUUGCGGCUCAACCGUAAAAUUGCAGUUGAUACUGGCAGUCUUGAGUGCAGUAGAGGUGGGCGGAAUUCGUGGUGUAGCGGUGAAAUGCUUAGAUAUCACGAAGAACUCCGAUUGCGAAGGCAGCUCACUGGAGUGUAACUGACGCUGAUGCUCGAAAGUGUGGGUAUCAAACAGGAUUAGAUACCCUGGUAGUCCACACAGUAAACGAUGAAUACUCGCUGUUUGCGAUAUACAGUAAGCGGCCAAGCGAAAGCAUUAAGUAUUCCACCUGGGGAGUACGCCGGCAACGGUGAAACUCAAAGGAAUUGACGGGGGCCCGCACAAGCGGUGGAGUAUGUGGUUUAAUUCGAAGCAACGCGAAGAACCUUACCUGCUCUUGACAUCUCCCUGACCGGCAAGUAAUGUUGCCUUUCCUUCGGGACAGGGAUGACAGGUGGUGCAUGGUUGUCGUCAGCUCGUGCCGUGAGGUGUCGGCUUAAGUGCCAUAACGAGCGCAACCCUUAUCUUCAGUUACUAACAGGUCAUGCUGAGGACUCUGGAGAGACUGCCGUCGUAAGAUGUGAGGAAGGUGGGGAUGACGUCAAAUCAGCACGGCCCUUACGUCCGGGGCUACACACGUGUUACAAUGGGGGGUACAGAAGGCCGCUACCUGGUGACAGGAUGCCAAUCCCAAAAACCUCUCUCAGUUCGGAUCGAAGUCUGCAACCCGACUUCGUGAAGCUGGAUUCGCUAGUAAUCGCGCAUCAGCCAUGGCGCGGUGAAUACGUUCCCGGGCCUUGUACACACCGCCCGUCAAGCCAUGAAAGCCGGGGGUACCUGAAGUACGUAACCGCAAGGAGCGUCCUAGGGUAAAACUGGUAAUUGGGGCU